rnacentral:rRNA from 1 species
GGUUUGUUAAGUCAGAUGUGAAAUCCCCGAGCUUAACUUGGGAACUGCAUUUGAAACUGGCAAGCUAGAGUCUUGUAGAGGGGGGUAGAAUU